rnacentral:misc_RNA from 1 species
GAUGAAGAACGUAGCGAAAUGCGAUACGUAAUGUGAAUUGCAGAAUUCAGUGAAUCAUCGAAUCUUUGAACGCAUAUUGCGCUCUUUGGUAUUCCGAAGAGCAUGCUUGUUUGAGUAUCAGUAAACACCUCAAAGCUUUUGGAUUUUUUAAUCGAAAAGCUUUGGACUUGAGCAAUCCCAACACCAAUCUUUUUGAGAUCGGUGGCGGGUUGCUUGAAAUGCAGGUGCAGCUGGACAUUCUCCUGAGCUAAAAGCAUAUUCAUUUAGUCCCGUCAAACGGAUUAUUACUUUUGCUGCAGCUAACAUAAAGGGAGUUUGACCGUAUUGGCUGACUGAUGCAGGAGUUCACAAGGGUCGGCAACGAUUCUUGUUAAACUCGAUCUCAAAUCAAGUAAGACUACCCGCUGAACUUAAGCAUAUCAAUAAGCGGAGGA